rnacentral:rRNA from 1 species
AACGAACGCUGGCGGCAUGCCUAACACAUGCAAGUCGAACGAGACCUUCGGGUCUAGUGGCGCACGGGUGCGUAACGCGUGGGAACCUGCCCUUAGGUUCGGAAUAACUCCCCGAAAGGGGUGCUAAUACCGGAUAAUGUCUUCGGACCAAAGAUUUAUCGCCUUUGGAUGGGCCCGCGUUGGAUUAGCUAGUUGGUAGGGUAAAAGCCGACCAAGGCGACGAUCCAUAGCUGGUCUGAGAGGAUGGUCAGCAACCCUGGGACUGAGACACGGCGCAGACUCCUACAGGAGGCAGCAGUGGGGAAUAUUGGACAACGGGCGAAAGCGUGAUACAGCAAUGCCGCGUGAGUGAUGAAGGCCUUAGGGUGGUAAAGCUCUUUUACCCGGGAAGAUAAUGACAGUACCGGGAGAAUAAGCACCGGCUAACUCCGUG